UUUACUUGAAGCUUUCUUAGAUUUUGAAACGAAGUAAACACAUAAUGUGUGUUGCUAAUGUUGGGCCAUGUAAUAUGUAAUACAUUUACGUUUUAAUGAAUAGUCUAACGAUUUAUAGUCGUUGUACUCUAUUGUUAUAAUAUGUCUUUUUGACUGAAUACAUGUUUGUUUUAUUUGUCUAUAUCCUAGAUUCGCAGCUGGACACAUCCUUCUACACUGUAUGCAAACAUGCAACAUCAUAACACACAGUACAAGGAGUCAGACUGGCAUAUGAGGAGCAAAGGAACCCAGGCAGUAGCAUCGUUUCACAAUGUUUCCAUCACCAUCAUCAGUGGAUGCCUUUGCUGUCCGUAGCCUGAGAUUUCAGAUUUGCAGCAAAAAAAAUCUGAUUUUCUCAUUUAUUGGAAUGCUGUGCAGGUAUUUGUACCUUGCAGCCAUCCAUUACAAUGUCACCAAGCCGUAACAAAAGCAGGAGAGGGAAAGUACAAGGCUAUGUUCCCAAAACACACAAGUGACAUACCGUA